ACGGGUGAGUAGCACGUAGGUAAUCUACCUUUGGAUGGGGAAUAACACCGAGAAAUCGGUGCUAAUACCGCAUAAUGCAGCGGCACCUAAUGGUGACAGUUGUUAAAGCGGGGGAUCGAAAGACCUCGCGUCUGAAGAGGAGCCUGCGGCAGAUUAGCUAGUUGGUAAGGUAACGGCUUACCAAGGCGAUGAUCUGUAGCCGGCCUGAGAGGGCGGUCGGCCACACUGACACUGACAUACGGGUCAGACUCCUACGGGAGGCAGCAGUCGGGAAUUUUGGGCAAUGGGCGAAAGCCUGACCCAGCAACGCCGCGUGAAGGAUGAAAUCCCUCGGGAUGUAAACUUCGCAAGAACGGGAAGAAUAAGUCGGUGUUAACAUCACCGACGAUGACGGUACAGUUUGUAAGCUCCGGCUAACUCCGUGCCAGCAGCCGCGGUAAUACGGGGGGAGCAAGCGUUGUUCGGAUUUACUGGGCGUAAAGGGCGCGUAGGCGGCCACCGCAAGUCGACUGUGAAAUCUCCGGGCUUAACUCGGAAAGGUCAGCCGAUACUGCGGGGCUAGAGUGCAGAAGGGGCAACUGGAA
rnacentral:rRNA from 1 species